AACAAUAAUGGCUGCUGCUGCUGGCGAACCACUGUCUUUCUACUCGGCUUUGGCCGCGACUCUUCAAGACUUUAAGUUAUAAUUUUCUUUGAGAAAUGAACAAAGAACUGCACUGAAGUCUUUUCUGGAAAAUAAAGAUUUAUUCGGAGUUUUGCCGACCGGAUACGGUAAAAGUUUCGUCGUUGGUCUCCAUUCUCUCAAUCCACCAUUCGCAACCAUGUUCGCAAUCGCAACACUUCCCCAUGGAAAUUUCCGUCGCUCUGACUACGUCACCUUCUUCGUUGCUCUGAUUGGUUGUAGCGCUAUCCUAUUGCGUGCAGAGGGAACUUGAAAGACAACGGUUUAUCCCGCCCACACUGCCACCGUACGAGACCAGACCCAAUAUCUUUCCGAUAUGGGUCUGGCUUGCCAGGCUAACAUUGACCUGCUAUUCUAUGCAAAUGCUUCAAUUAGGUUUUAUUGUUGAACGUCAACGUCUUUUCCAGCAAGAUUUUUCUUGCUGAAGCUGCCAGUUUUUCUCCUCUUCAAUCUCAUCGUCCACGGUCAAGGUCACUCUGGAAAACUCCAAAAACACUGUUACGCGCUCUUUCGGUCGCCUGAUGUGGUGUAGUCUCUUCCUCUGGCCUGCCUUGUUCCAUCAGAAAGAGAUCAAUGCAGAGUUCCUGAGGCUCAUGGCUGUUUCUCUUGAGGAUAAGUUCUUUGCCCAGUUAGACAUCCACUCAAGUCAGCUAAUCAGAGUCAUCCGUGCCAAAGAAUAGUGGAGAUCUAUGGACGUCACCGUUGAAAUCAAAAGGGGGAAAACUGCACUUUUCUUUAAUGAAUAAACCAAAAGAAAGGCAUCCACAAGGAGAAGCUGAGGAUAUGGAAAACUGUGAUCAGUACAUACCGUCUUGGAGCUCCACCCAGGCCAGAGCCAGGCAGAGGACGAAGCCCAGCUUCAUGAUGUGCACGGGGGCUGCAACAGGCGGUCUGGGUGCCUCUAAGGUGGGACAGGGGUGGAGAACCCUCGGAUACCUGGGAGAAGCGUCACGGGCAGUUGGAGGGUGGGGGUAAUGGCGAUAGGACCGUCUGGUGUUUUUUAACAGAACUCGGUUAGACUCCUAGAUCCAUUCUCCUCUUAGACCGAGAGGAAAGUGGAGAGGAAUACUUUGGGCUCCCCCACCCUCUAAUAACUCUCUCUUUCCAGAUGUCAAAGGGAGGCAAAUAUACUCACGCAUGUACGCUCUGGCGCCCUCUGCUGGAUAAAUACAGCGUCGGUGAAAGUUCAGUUUGUCUUUGCGACGAGUACAACGGCAGCAGACAGUUAUAUCUCAAAUUCAAUCAUUACCAAAAGAAUUAACGUGAUUUAUUAACUCAACACUAGUCUUACUUAAAUAAAACAAAAACAUUUGUUUUAUUUUAUUGUUAGUAACAAAUGAUAACACAUAAUUCCAUCGUGGAAACGUACAUGUUCUGAAAAAAUCUUGAAUUUACUUAACUGAAGGGCAGGCCGAAUCCAUGAAAAUUCAACAUUAGUAGAAAUUGCAUUAAUUCCACAUUAAACAAAAACUCCAGGUCAAACUGAUAAUGGUUCAAAAUAUUAUUUCCUCAAUGGUUCAAAAUAUUAUUUCCUCAAUGUAGUCUUAACAAUGCAAAGAUGCACCAAAAAGGGAAGAUAAAUAUUCCAACAUUAUGCUAACUAAAGUUUAAUUAUAUAUAUAUAUCCUCAAGAACACAUUAUAUGCCCACAAGCCACUCUCAACAUGUUCAGAGAAAUUAAUGGUAAAGUCAAAAGAACAGGAAUUUUUAAUUUCCCAACAGUUUGAGGGUCAAACAAUACUAUCAGAUCCUCAAAACAACAGGUCCUAAUGUGGAUAUGCGGACUACAUCUGAUAGGUCUCUCUUCAAUGAACGAUGAACACCAGACAGCCAAUAACUGUACAGCGACAUAGCUAAUACAAAUAACAGAUAGAAACAGACGGAAAAAUACACAAGUCUGUAAUACUCUGACAGAGAUUAAAAACAGAGAACAUAUUUGUUUAGUAUAGGAAUGUAACAUCAAAUAAUAAUCAAAAAACUAAAGAAAAAUAUCGAAACAAUUUAAAAAGACGACUCAACGUAACGUACCAACGACUAGUAACCAAUCAACUGUCCCACGUAGACGGAUGACCUGCUUACCCUUUAAGGUCAAAGGUUAGCAGUUACCGGUCAUUUUACUACAGCAGGUCAUUUCACUACAUUUGUUCACUCAAUUUGUUUUUUACAGGUCAAAUAUGGGUGCAACAAGUUUCUGUAGCCAAAUCUAAUAGAAUAGUCUCACAAUUUGGCACAGGUUAAAUGACACUUGUAUUUAAUACCUACAAUUUCCACCAGAGAGCAUCAAGUGUAAUAAUAGCACAGCUUAACACACAUUUUAAUCAAUUCACUUAUUUGCGUAUCUAGAAACUAAAAAAAGAUAAAAAGACCAAAAUAAACGGAUCACCCUGGUUGUAAUUUAUCUGUACAGUACAAAACAAGAAAGUCUACAGACAGAAACAAACCCUCCAUCGAGAUGCACAGUUUAAAGCCUGUCGACCUAAAUUCAGAAUGGGCGUCGUUCUCUCCAGUGUGUUACCUGUCCUCUUCCCCACCCGGCCCGCCCGCCGUGCCUCGCGCUGGCCGUCACCCUCUCCCAACCACGUUACCCUGCUGUCCGGACACGCCCGACCUCGGCAUACCCCUCCCCCUGACACACCCCUUCCACCGAUAAAACAUAACAUUUACAUGAUACCUUUUAGAAUAGAGAGAGAGAGAGAGAGUGUGUGAGCGAGCCGGGUAGACUUGCAGCAGACGAGGGCUCAUGUCAAGGCGUAGCUGCAUGGAUGCAUUGUAUCAUGCAUCGGUCCCCCCUAAUGCCCGACUUCUCACAAAAUGUUUGUUGUUGUGCAUGUUUUAUCUGUAUUGUCGUUGUCCGUCGUUUCCUUUCUAAAACUUGCUGGUCUUUUCUUGGCCGAUGCCUCGCUCCGAGUCCCCCGUGCCCGCCUUCUUCCCGCCGUGGUGCUGCUUCUCCUGAUUGGCUGUCGGGACCUUGCUCUGUAUGGUGGUGGCGGCACCGGUGGUAGAGGAGGUGCCUGCGCCGCUGCCCUUGGGCCGGGCCUGCAGCCGCUUGCGCUCCUCGCUGUGCCACAUGCCGUACCCAAAAUAGAUGACGAAGCCUGGGAGACCAAGGACGACGUGGAGGGAGGAGGGAUUCAUUAGGCUUUUAUUCCCAGUGACUAUACAUUUAUGAGCCUGUAGGGGUUAGGGGCCUCUUGCUAAAAGAUGCCUACAGGGAGACUGCAGAAA